rnacentral:piRNA from 1 species
UGGGAGAGUCCAGAGUGAACAGGACCCUGA